rnacentral:pre_miRNA from 1 species
CCCUUGGUGAGGACUCGGGAGGUGGAGGGUGGUGCUGCCAGGGCCAGGGCGCCGCCUCAGCUCGCUUCUCCCCCCACCUCCUCUCUCCUCAGGUGCGCUUGCAG